GAGUCUCUCGUCCCAUCCCAACAACCCAUCCCUCCCUCCUCCCCUCAGUGCCAGCCACAUUCUCCCCUCCCAAAGCCUCCCGUCCCAUCCGAACAACCCAUCCCUCCCUCCUCUCCUCUGCAGUCCACCUCCAGUCAGCCUGAUCAGCCCUGGGGAGCCUGACUGCUCCAUCAUCUUCAGUCACCCAGGAUGUGAAGAACAAACUACAGAGCAUGUGGUGUGUGCUGGGAUGCCUUGCAGGAGAUCACGCUGGGAUACGAAGCCGCCCCUCAAGAGAUGGAGUCCAUUCAGCUGUUCAAUUCUGCCGAGGGAAAAGAAUCAUUCAACUCUGAAGACUGCCAUGGAUUCUUAUGUAUUAGCUAGCGAGAUGUGAACUUUCUAUCUCGUGAAAAUAAAGUUCAGGGACGUA